rnacentral:rRNA from 1 species
UACGGAGGGUGCAAGCGUUAUCCGGAUUCACUGGGUUUAAAGGGUGCGUAGGCGGACACUUAAGUCCGUGGUGAAAUCUCUGGGCUUAACCCAGAAACUGCCAUGGAUACUAUUUGUCUUGAAUGUUGUGGAGGUUAGCGGAAUAUGUCAUGUAGCGGUGAAAUGCAUAGAUAUGACAUAGAACACCAAUUGCGAAGGCAGCUUACUACACAAUUAUUGACGCUGAGGCACGAAAGCGUGGGGAUCAAACAGG